UGGCGGACGGGUGAGGAAUACAUCGGAAUCUACUCUGUCGUGGGGGAUAACGUAGGGAAACUUACGCUAAUACCGCAUACGACCUACGGGUGAAAGCAGGGGAUCUUCGGACCUUGCGCGAUUGAAUGAGCCGAUGUCGGAUUAGCUAGUUGGCGGGGUAAAGGCCCACCAAGGCGACGAUCCGUAGCUGGUCUGAGAGGAUGAUCAGUCACACUGGAACUGAGACACGGUCCAGACUCCUACGGGAGGCAGCAGCG
rnacentral:rRNA from 1 species